rfam:Desulfotomaculum nigrificans CO-1-SRB chromosome, complete genome.
GUGAAUAUAUUUUUCCUGCUGUAGACAGUUGGUGUCGUUAAGGCAUAAUGGCAGAUGCCGCCAACCGAGGCCGGAGGUAAGAACUUGCAAGCUAAAAAUUGCGGGGCCUCUGCGUGUGUCUGCACAGAGGUUCCGCUUUUUAUUUGGUAUA